ACAUUGUAAUCUAUUUAUUUUAUACACGUGACGUCAUAAGCAAAGGCUUUGCUUGUGUUCUAGCUAAACUCCAAUAAAUAAAUAUGUACAGAUAUGCUGAGCCUACAAAACAGUAAAGAAAACCUUUUCUUCACAAAAGAUACACAUAUGAUACAUUUGUUCCUUACACUGACAUAUGAACUCAUUCCUAGCUUACUUAAAACAAAACCCUUCUGGACUCUGUAUGCCAAUAUCUAGAGGCAUGUACCUGGUCCUUUUAUUUUAUCCAGAAAGCAAAGCUAUGCAGAGAAAAUUCCUCAGUUUCUUUAUUAAAAAAUGGCCUGCAUAUGGCCUGCUACUUAUUAUUAAGUGACAUUUAAAUGUUCUCAAGAAGUUGGAAACUCUUUAGACCAGUUGUCCUGAAAUGACUGGACAAUGCCCUGUGGAUGUUGUCAAAAUGCAGCUUCUUAUGAACUGGCUCACUGGGGUGGGAGUGGGGGACUGGGACACUCUGGGAUCUUCACUGUAUUUGUCACCUCCGCCC
rnacentral:lncRNA from 1 species